AGUGAACGCUGGCGGUAGGCCUAACACAUGCAAGUCGAACGGCAGCACAGUAAGAGCUUGCUCUUACGGGUGGCCGGUGGCGGACGGGUGAGGAAUGCAUCGGAAUCUACUUUUUCGUGGGGGAUAACGUAGGGAAACUUACGCUACUACCGCAUACGACCUACGGGUGAAAGCAGGGGAUCGUCGGACCUUGCGCGAUUGAAUGAGCCGAUGUCGGAUUAGCUAGUUGGCGGGGUAAAGGCCCACCAAGGCGACGAUCCGUAGCUGGUCUGAGAGGACGAUCAGCCACACUGGGACUGAGACACGGUCCAGACUCCUACGGGAGGCAGCAGUGGGGAAUAUUGGACAAUGGGCGCAAGCCUGAUCCAGCCAUACCGCGUGGGUGAAGAAGGCCUUCGGGUUGUAAAGCCCUUUUGUUGGGAAAGAAAAGCAGCAGGCUAAUACCGCGCUGUUAUGACGGUACCCAAAGAAUAAGCACCGGCUAACUUCGUG
rnacentral:rRNA from 1 species